rnacentral:rRNA from 1 species
GACAGAGGGUGCAAACGUUGUUCGGAAUUACUGGGCGUAAAGCGCGUGUAGGUGGCAAGGCAAGUCGGGUGUGAAAGCCCUGGGCUCAACCCAGGAAGUGCGCUCGAACUCGCGUAGCUAGAGUCCUGGAGAGGAAGGUGGAAUGCUUGGUGUAGAGGUGAAAUUCGUAGAUAUCAAGCGGAACACCGGUGGCGAAGGCGGCCUUCUGGACAGUGACUGACGCUGAGACGCGAAAGCGUGGGGAGCAAACAGG